AUGUUACAACUACCCGUCCACCUGUCCUUCAUGCACGGCCACUACUGGGAGGGCAUGAAGGCCAACUGGAUCAUCCUCAUCCACCAAUCCGGUAGUUCGUGGUGUCUCGUGGAUAUCUACACCCAGCGAGAGAUCACCCUUCCAUCAUUGGAUACCGCCGCCAUCGAGCCUCGCUGCCCGCCGGACACUCCUGCCUACUACGCACGAGACGCAUCAAGCUUUUGGCUCAACCUCUGUUUGCAGAAAGUUGUAAUCUGUGAAGUGCCCACACCAUCAGAAGACUACAUGGAUUACAAGCUCAUUGCCUUGUUCAACAUGGGAUUAGUCUAUCUGGAAUUCGGUCACCAUACAUGGUUAUGGCGCAUCAUCAAUCCUAUUGAGGCAACAUUUCUGUCUGAUGCUAUAGUGCAUGAUGGCAUCGUUUACGCGGUCGACGCACAGAUUGGUUGCCUAUACUGCAGACGCAAAUGCGCCGGCCUUCAUGAUUCCAGGACCUGGAAUCAUACCAGCCGAUGGUACAAUGCGUGGGGCGUUUGUGACAUUGAUGGCUAUGGCUGCUUCAUGUUCAAGAAAGAUCCUAGCUCCGUUGGGCCAGGCGUAUUCAACUGGAAGUGGGUUUACAGCCUCGGCAACCACUCCUUGUUCCUCGGGCUCGAUUAUUCGAUCAUCCAACCAAUCAUCGAUCAUACCACCGGCAAUGAUUACCGUGCUAUGCAACUUCCAUUCACGUGGGGGGACUGUGUUUACACAUCAUACCAUGGGUUUCAUGAAUCACCAUAUCAAGAGAUUCAUCGACACAGCUUGUUGCCAGAUAAUCUUCAGUGUGUGAAAGGCAUCAAGCUUCCAUGCGAUGGAUUGCUUUUGCAAACCCGACAUGCGGCGAUGUGGUUCAUGCCAACAGCAAAUAUGCACAACUUGAUUCUACCAUAUAACUGGAAUUACCGAUGCAAGUCGAAGAAGGAUUGGCCGGUGCUGCCGGCUGGCGUCAAGUUCGAUCCCACGGAUCAGGAGCUGAUCGAGCACCUUGAGGCCAAAGUGAGUGCUGACAGCAUGAGAUUUCAGUCUCUCAUCGAUUUGUUCAUACCAACCAUCGACAGCGAGCACGGCAUAUGCUACACCCAACCUGAGAAACUUCCAGGUAUCACACUGAGUGGCCUAAGGAAGCAUUUCUUCCAGCGCAAUUCUAGGGCGUUCAAAAGGGGCAUGUGGACGCGUCGCAAGAUACAAUCGGAGUGCGGCAUGCACGCGAUGUGGCACAAGACCGGCAAUACCUUGUCGGUGAUGGUCAACGGCCGGCUGGCGGGCAGCAAAAAAGUUGUACUACCUUGUCGUCCGCAAGUUGGUAUUGUUGUUAACAAUCUUUUGGUCCAGCCCAUGACGACAACAGGGCACAAAGAUCCAGCAGCCGACCAGCUUCAUGGUGCCCGGAGCGCCUCUGGAGUUCGUCUUCCCUUCCUUGCUACUCUGCUCUCAUUAGGGAAGGACGGAUCCAUUCACCCUCUCGCCCGGCAUCGCUCGGUGAAUAAGACAGACGAAAUUGAUGUGCGCUUCCUCUCCUUUCGCCCAACGAAGGCGGAAGAUGCAAACGGUGGCUCCUCACCUAGCCGUGCGGUGAUGGAUUCAAUGGAGAAGAGGAAGCAUGUUCCCUCCAUUACCUGGUUAGUUGUCAAUGCUCACUAA
rnacentral:rRNA from 1 species